rnacentral:rRNA from 1 species
AGAACGAACGCUGGCGGCAUGCCUAAUACGUGCAAGUCGAACGAACUCUUCGGAGUUAGUGGCGCACGGGUGCGUAACGCGUGGGAAUCUGCCCCUUGGUUCGGAAUAACAGUUGGAAACGACUGCUAAUACCGGAUGAUGACGAAAGUCCAAAGAUUUAUCGCCAAGGGAUGAG